UCCCCUGUAGCUCAAUUGGUAGAGCGAGCGGCUGUUAACCGCUAGGUUGCUGGUUCGAGUCCAGCCGGGGGAGC
rnacentral:tRNA from 1 species